AAUAGAUACCCCGGUAGUCCACGCCGUAAACGAUGGAUGCUAGCUGUUAUGAGUAUCGACCCUUGUAGUAGCGAAGCUAACGCGUUAAGCAUCCCGCCUGUGGAGUACGAGCGCAAGCUUAAAACAUAAAGGAAUUGACGGGGACCCGCACAAGCGGUGGAGCGUGUUGUUUAAUUCGAUGAUAAGCGAAGAACCUUACCAAGGCUUGACAUCCCUGGAAUUUCUCCGAAAGGAGAGAGUGCCUUCGGGAAUCAGGUGACAGGUGAUGCAUGGCCGUCGUCAGCUCGUGUCGUGAGAUGUUUGGUUAAGUCCAUCAACGAGCGCAACCCUUGUAAAUAGUUGAAUUUUUCUAUUUAGACUGCCUCGGUAACGGGGAGGAAGGAGGGGAUGAUGUCAGGUCAGUAUUUCCCUUACGCCUUGGGCUACAAACACGCUACAAUGGCCGGUACAAAGGGCAGCCAACCCGCGAGGGGAGCAAAUCCCAUCAAAACCGGUCUCAGUUCGGAUAGCAGGCUGAAAUUCGCCUGCUUGAAGCCGGAAUCGCU
rnacentral:rRNA from 1 species